UAUAAGUGUGCAAGGUGGUACAACUGUAAUUAGAUUUACAUCUAAAGAUGAAAGAUAAUGAGCAUUUCAAACCUCAAAUCUAACAACAAUGAAGCACGACUAAGUACCAAUUGGGGAGGAAGAGGAGGGUGAUGAGCCAUAAUUUUCCCUUUUUUGGGAGUGUCGUCUGGGAGUGAAUGUGGGAUUUGGGGAAGUGAAUGAGUGGGGGAGAAACAAGAGAGGAAUGGCAGUUGUGGCGGGCGGGUAAUGUCGGUUGACACACGCGGUUAUGGUAACCCGUAACCGCAUCUGGGCAUAUCCAAAUUGUGGUUUCAAAUAAGUCAAUUGAUUGGCAUUGGCGGGGGCGCAUUGUUUUUGUUGGGUAAGCUCCUUUACUUUACUCUGUCAAUAACAAGGUGUUCAUAUUGGGGUUUCGAAUUAGUUGUGUGGUGUGAUUGAUCAAGCGGAAUUGAUUUUUGUAAUUGCGCAAAGAGAAUAGAUGAGCUUGAUCAAUGGUUUUGUAAUUGCUGAAUGGGCCUCGUAUGCUUCAGGAUCGGAUUUUGAUUAUUUAUGUUCUCGGGGUUUGAUUCUGGAUUGCUUGCUUAUUCAAUUCGUUGCUCUAUGCAUCAGAAUGUCAUGUGCACUCUGAUAGGAAAAGAGCUACUUGAGUGUGUUUUCAGGCAGAGAUUGAAUCUUAUGUGCAACCUGGAUCUGUAUCAGUAUAUGUUCAUUAUGGACAGAGUUGACCAAAUGAUGCAAAUCUUUUAGCUCAAAGCCAUGUUGUGAUCACUACUACAUGUGGAGUUUUAGCAUCAGAAUUUUCUAUGGAGUUAAUGUAAACAAAUCCUAUUUUCGUAAUUGUUUAUGAGUUCUGCACUUGUGUAUACAAGUUGAGUUUGUGCAUCUGUUCCUUUCUCCUUGCCUCUCUGCAUCUAGAAUUCUAAGGACAAUGGGGGACUUUACUCAGUUAGUUGGUUCUUGUUGAGGCGCAUACCAUAAAAUCCUCUAAAAACCAACUCUCUAUUGCUGCUGCUGCUUUAGUUGCUGGUCGCUGAUGGUGUCUUACUGGCACCCCUAUACAGAACAAUCUGGAGGACAUUUAUAGUCUACUCCGGUUUUUGAGGGUAGAACCUUGGCCCUUGGGCGAAUUGCGCUUGGUGGAAUAAACUCAUCCAGAAACCCUUUGAGGAGGGUGAUGAGAGAGGGUUAAAGCUGGUUCAAUCUAUCUUGAAGACGAUUAUGUUAGGGAGAACCAAGUUUAGCAUUGAUCAUGAAGGCCAGCCUAUUUUAGUCGUUCCUCCUGCUGAUAUUGAGGUGAUUUAUUGUGAACUCACAGAAGCUGAAAAAGACUUCUAUGAGGCCCUGUUUAAAAGAUCAAAGGUGAAAUUUGAUCAAUAUGUCGAGUAAGGAUGGGUUCUUCAUAAUUAUGCAUCCAUAUUGGAAUUACGUUUACACCUUCUCCAAUGUUGUGAUCACCCAUUUCUUCUGAUGAGUCGAGAUGAUACACAAGAAUAUUCGGAUCUGAAUAAGCUUGCUAGACGGUUCUUAAAAGGCAGCCGGAAUUCUGUGGAAGGGGAAGCCAAAGAUGCGCCUUCACGGCUUAUGUUCAAGAAGUUGUUGAAGAAAUACACAAGGGGGAACAGGGAGAAUGUCCAAUAUGUCUUGAAGCAUUUGAAGAUGCAGUAUUGACACCUUUUGUUCAUCACUUAUGCCGUGGAUGUCUCUUGGCAAGUUGGCAGAAUUUCGAUUUCUGGCUUGUGUCCGGUUUGCAGGAGUGUAAGCAAGCAAGAUCCAAUUACAGCACCAAGAGUCAGUUCUAUGUUGAUAUUGAGAAAAACUGGGUGGAAUCAUCCAAAAUAGUUCUUCUUCUUUUGUGUGAGCUUGAAUGUCUUCGUUCAUCAGGCUCAAAGAGCAUUGUCUUCAGCCAGUGGACGGCCUUUCUGGACCUCCUGCACAUUUAUCUUUCUCGGAGUAACAUUCCGUUUCUUCACCUGGAUGGGACUCUGAAUCAACAGCAGCGCGAAAAGUGUUAAAACAGUUUUCAGAAGACAGUGACAUUCUGGUGGUUGCUAAUGUCACUGAAGGCCGGAGGAGUUGGAAUUAAUUUCAAUUAGAGUUUGCUAUAGAGGACAGAAGAUGGUGAACUUGGAGUUUUAAUACUUAAGAUCUAGAAGGGGUCUAACAGGUUUUUUGACUUCGUGCUAGUUAUAAAUGUUGUUGGGCUUGUUGAGAAGAAGAUCUUUUGUUUAGGAAGUUUUGUCAAAUUUUGACUUUGAGCCGGCGGUGCCGUCACUGUGGUGGUGGUUUCCGACCACUUCCGGCCAUUACAGGAAUAGUUUAUGUUCCUCUUUUUAUUCUACACAUCGAUACGAUCAUUUCAAUAUAUAGUUGGUAAUUUUUGGAAAUCGUAUGAGUAAGUUAUGAAUUUUUAAAAGUUUAAGGGUUUUCGGUUCGAUUGGUUUUCGAUCCGAGAGGAUUCGGCCGUCCGAUCGAUUUUGUAAUUUUGAUAGAUUGAACGUAUAAGUAUUCCGGAGACCUCAGAUGGUCUCGGAUGAAGUUUCACCUUGAUUGGCUUUACUUUCGAGAUUUUAGUGCAAAUGAGGGUUCGACACUUAAUUGUUUUUGAUUCGUGUACUAAGUUGUGUCGUACAUUCCUUGGGUGAUUGAUGGAGACAAGUCAAUACCUUAUCCUUGCUGUAAGAGAAGACGCAACGGGAUUUUGAGGUGAGUAAAUCUCACGAGGUUCAUUUAUGAACGGAGUUACUUUUUUUUCAGAAUUAAUGGUUAAAUUGUGAAAUCGUUUUUCA